GAUGAACGCUGGCGGCGUGCCUAAUACAUGCAAGUCGAGCGAACGGACGAGAAGCUUGCUUCUCUGAUGUUAGCGGCGGACGGGUGAGUAACACGUGGAUAACCUACCUAUAAGACUGGGAUAACUUCGGGAAACCGGAGCUAAUCCCGGAUAAUAUUUUGAACCGCAUGAUUCAAAAGUGAAAGACGGUCUUGCUGUCACUUAUAGAUGGAUCCGCGCUGCAUUAGCUAGUUGGUAAGGUAACGGCUUACCAAGGCAACGAUGCAUAGCCGACGUGCGAGGGUGAUCGGCCACACUGGAGCUGAGACACGGUCCAUGCUCCUACGGGAGGCAGCAGUAGGGAAUCUUCCGCAGUGGGCGAAAGCCUGACGGAGCAACGCCGCGUGAGUGAUGAAGGUCUUCGGAUCGUAAAACUCUGUUAUUAGGGAAGAACAUAUGUGUAAGUAACUGUGCACAUCUUGACGGUACCUAAUCAGAAAGCCACGGCUAACUACGUG
rnacentral:rRNA from 1 species